AAUGCGAGACAAACAUUCAAUGAGUCGCAUAUGUAUAAAUGAGGCUCACACCUCUUUGUCUCCUAACCAAACUGACCCCAGCGCAACGUUAUUUAUUUCUACGAGAAAGGUAACAAGCUAAGGAGAUGGAAGCAAAAAUGGCACUCAACAUCCUUUUCCUGCUCUCAAUUCUUCUCAUCCAGGGAUCCUACGUUGAAGGACUCGCACAUGCGUGCACUUAUAAUGACACAAGGCCCGUGUGCAAAGCGGUCAAAGCAAAAAUCAUGAAAAAGCAUGCGCGGCGAAUCUGUUCCGCCGCUCGAAGCCUGAGUUGUGAUCAAAUGCUACAGCACGACUACCCCGACUUCGAGAGCCAGAAAUAAGGGAUUUACUAAGCUGAGAAGAUGUUUUAAACUUUAAACUCGUAAAACGUUCUUUAGGUCUUUCAAAAUCUACCAGUAAAGCAAGUCCACAAAAAGAAAAGGA